UACGAAGGGGGCUAGCGUUGUUCGGAAUUACUGGGCGUAAAGCGCACGUAGGCUGAUCGUUAAGUGAGGGGUGAAAUCCCGAGGCUCAACCUCGGAACUGCCCUUCAUACUGGCGAUCUCGAGUCCGGAAGAGGUUAGUGGAAUUCCCAGUGUAGAGGUGAAAGUCGUAGAUAUUGGGAAGAACACCAGUGGCGAAGGCGGCUAACUGGUCCGGUACUGACGCUGAGGUGCGAAAGCGUGGGGAGCAAACAGG
rnacentral:rRNA from 1 species